CAAAGAAGAUCUAGGUGCAGAGACCUCUAUCGACAAUGUGUGACAUCAGUGGUUUUGGGGUUUCUCUUAUUUCUCGUUUACUCCACCCUCAUGAUCAGCUACAGACUUCACAAGCGUUCACUGUUUGAGAAAUACAACAUCAGGAAUAACUUCAUCAACAAGGAUCUUAACUGGAGAGAACGUGAAGCUCUGGAAUCAAUUCCAUCUCUUUUCACAAAAGAGGUCCUUGAUGUUCUCAAUUCCACCACCUCCAGUGACAAUCCUUUGAGCCUUGAUUCACUCAGGAAGAAUCAUUCAGUGGCUAACU